rnacentral:misc_RNA from 1 species
UAUCUACUCAACUCUUCUUUCUAGUUUAUGUUGUAAUAAGUGAGAGUGAGUUUUAAACAACUUUAUUAGCAUUUAUGAGAGGUUUGAUAAGCACCUAUUGAAACUUAAUAGUGUAAAGUGCUUGGGAUAACAUUUGUUAGAAAUUUGAAACUACUGUGUAAAGCUUUGAAGUGAAAAUUUAUAAAAGGCUUUUGUAUCUUGCCUUUAAAAGAGAAGAAUAGUGA